AUUGAACGCUGGCGGCAGGCCUAACACAUGCAAGUAGAACGGAGUGGCGGACGGGUGAGUAAUGUCUGGGAAACUGACUGAUGGUGGGGGAUAACGUUCGGAAACGGACGCUAAUACCGCAUACUAUCAGAUGAGCCCAGGUCGGAUUAGCUAGUUGGUGAGGUAAUGGCUCACCAAGGCUACGAUCCGUAACUGGUCUGAGAGGAUGAUCAGUCACACUGGAACUGAGACACGGUCCAGACGCCUACGGGAGGCAGCAGUGGGGAAUAUUGGACAAUGGGCGAAAGCCUGAUCCAGCCAUGCCGCGUGUGUGAAGAAGGUCUUCGGAUUGUAAAGCACUUUAAGUUGGGAGGCGUUACCGACAGAAUAAGCACCGGCUAACUCUGUGCCAGCCGCCGCGGUAAUUC
rnacentral:rRNA from 1 species